rnacentral:rRNA from 1 species
AUUGAACGCUGGCGGCAGGCCUAACACAUGCAAGUCGAGCGGAUGAAGGGAGCUUGCUCCUGGAUUCAGCGGCGUACGGGAGAGUAAUGCCUAGGAAUCUGCCUGGUAGUGGGGGAUAACGUCCGGACACGGGCGCUAAUACCGCAUACGUCCUGAGGGCGAAAGUGUGGGAUCUUCGGACCUCACGCUAUCAGAUGAGCCUAGGUCGGAUUAGCUAGUUGGUGGGGUAAAGGCCUACCAAGGCGACGAUCCGUAACUGGUCUGAGAGGAUGAUCAGUCACACUGGAACUGAGACACGGCCCAGACUCCUAAGGGAGGCAGCAGUGGGGAAUACUGGAACACGAGCUAACACCUGAUCCAGCCACCCCGGGUGUGUGAAUGAGGGUUGCGGAUUGUACAGCACACUAAGUGGGGAGGAAGGGCAGUAAGUUAAUGCAUUGCUGUUUUGACGUUACCCACAGAAAAAGCACCGGCCAACUUCGUG